rnacentral:rRNA from 1 species
UCAUUCGAGUGGCGGACGGGUGAGUAACGCGUGGGUAACCUGCCUUUACACAGGGGGAUAACACCUGGAAACAGGUGCUAAUUACCGCAUAAGCGCACAGGGCCGCAUGGCCCGGUGUGAAAAACUCCGGUGGUGUAAGAUGGACCCGCGUCUGAUUAGCUUGUUGGCGGGGUAGGGGCCCACCAAGGCGACGAUCAGUAGCCGGCCUGAGAGGGUGGACGGCCACAUUGGGACUGAGACACGGCCCAAACUCCUACGGAAGGCAGCAG